AUAGGGGAGCCGGAGGGAAACCGAGUCUUAAUUGGGCGUUAAGUUGCAGGGUAUAGACCCGAAACCCGGUGAUCUAGCCAUGGGCAGGUUGAAGGUUGGGUAACACUAACUGGAGGACCGAACCGACUAAUGUUGAAAAAUUAGCGGAUGACCUGUGGCUGGGGGUGAAAGGCCAAUCAAACCGGGAGAUAGCUGGUUCUCCCCGAAAGCUAUUUAGGUAGCGCCUCGUGAAUUCAUCUCCGGGGGUAGAGCACUGUUUCGGCUAGGGGGCCAUCCCGGCUUACCAACCCGAUGCAAACUGCGAAUACCGGAGAAUGUUAUCACGGGAGACACACGGCGGGUGCUAACGUCCGUCGUGAAGAGGGAAACAACCCAGACCGCCAGCUAAGGUCCCAAAGUCAUGGUUAAGUGGGAAACGAUGUGGGAAGGCCCAGACAGCCAGGAUGUUGGCUUAGAAGCAGCCAUCAUUUAAAGAAAGCGUAAUAGCUCACUGGUCGAGUCGGCCUGCGCGGAAGAUGUAACGGGGCUAAACCAUGCACCGAAGCUGCGGCAGC
rnacentral:rRNA from 1 species